rnacentral:rRNA from 1 species
AUGAACGCUAGCUACAGGCUUAACACAUGCAAGUCGAGGGGCAGCAUGAACUUAGCUUGCUAAGUUUGAUGGCGACCGGCGCACGGGUGAGUAACACGUAUCCAACCUGCCGAUGACUCGGGGAUAGCCUUUCGAAAGAAAGAUUAAUACCCGAUGGCAUAGUUCUUCCGCAUGGUAGAACUAUUAAAGAAUUUCGGUCAUCGAUGGGGAUGCGUUCCAUUAGGUUGUUGGCGGGGUAACGGCCCACCAAGCCUUCGAUGGAUAGGGGUUCUGAGAGGAAGGUCCCCCACAUUGGAACUGAGACACGGUCCAAACUCCUACGGGAGGCAGCAGUGAGGAAUAUUGGUCAAUGGACGAGAGUCUGAACCAGCCAAGUAGCGUGAAGGAUGACUGCCCUAUGGGUUGUAAACUUCUUUUAUACGGGAAUAAAGUGAGGCACGUGUGCCUUUUUGUAUGUACCGUAUGAAUAAGGAUCGGCUAACUCCGUGCCAGCAGCCGCGGUAAUACGGAGGAUCCGAGCGUUAUCCGGAUUUAUUGGGUUUAAAGGGAGCGUAGGCGGACGCUUAAGUCAGUUGUGAAAGUUUGCGGCUCAACCGUAAAAUUGCAGUUGAUACUGGGUGUCUUGAGUACAGUAGAGGCAGGCGGAAUUCGUGGUGUAGCGGUGAAAUGCUUAGAUAUCACGAAGAACUCCGAUUGCGAAGGCAGCCUGCUGGACUGUAACUGACGCUGAUGCUCGAAAGUGUGGGUAUCAAACAGGAUUAGAUACCCUGGUAGUCCACGCCGUAAACGAUGAGUACUAAGUGUUGGGGGUCAAACCUCAGUGCUGCAGUUAACGCAAUAAGUACUCCGCCUGAGUAGUACGUUCGCAAGAAUGAAACUCAAAGGAAUUGACGGGGGCCCGCACAAGCGGUGGAGUAUGUGGUUUAAUUCGACGCAACGCGAAGAACCUUACCAGGUCUUGACAUCCGAUGCAUAGCACAGAGAUGUGUGAAAUCCUUCGGGACAUCGAGACAGGUGGUGCAUGGUUGUCGUCAGCUCGUGCCGUGAGGUGUCGGCUUAAGUGCCAUAACGAGCGCAACCCUUAUCGAUAGUUACCAUCAGGUGAUGCUGGGGACUCUGUCGAGACUGCCGUCGUAAGAUGUGAGGAAGGUGGGGAUGACGUCAAAUCAGCACGGCCCUUACGUCCUGGGCUACACACGUGUUACAAUGGGGGGUACAGAAGGUAGCUACACGGCGACGUGAUGCUAAUCCCGAAAGCCUCUCUCAGUUCGGAUUGGAGUCUGCAACCCGACUCCAUGAAGCUGGAUUCGCUAGUAAUCGCGCAUCAGCCACGGCGCGGUGAAUACGUUCCCGGGCCUUGUACACACCGCCCGUCAAGCCAUGAAAGCCGGGGGUACCUGAAGUGCGUAACCGCAAGGAGCGCCCUAGGGUAAAACUGGUGAUUGGGGCU